UGAGCAUGCAUCAUAUACAUGUGCAAGACAUGAAUGAACUAAAAAACAAUUGUGUGUGGCAACAGGAUGCUUCAUCAUGGCUACUCAAUCCGCUGGAUAAAUCUUUGGCAUUUAUCUUGGCAGAUAAUGGUUUUGAUGUAUGGCUUGCCAACUCUCGCGGGACAAAAUCUAGCCGCGGACACACAUCACUUAGUCCUGAUGAUGAUCCGGCUUACUGGGACUGGUCAUGGGAUGAAUUGGCAUCUCAUGAUCUUCCGGCUUUCUUCCAGUAUGUGAACAAUCAAACAGGACAGAAAUUACACUAUGUUGGGCAUUCCUUGGGAACUUUGACUGCCCUUGCCGCCUUCUCCCAAGAAAAGCUGUUAAACUUGCUAAGAUCAGCUGCUUUGCUUAGUCCGGUGGCUUAUCUGGGUCAGAUGUCCUCACUGUUUGUAAGAAUUCUAAUGGACAUAUUUAUAGCAGAGAAACUGAAAUUGUUGGGUGUACAAGAAUUCCCAAACGGGCAGACACAACAACUUGUGGAGUUUAUUUGCACACUACCAGGCAUUGACUGCUCCAACUUAUUGGCAACUAUAACAGGCCCAAAUUGCUGCCUCAGUUCUUCAAGCAAAGAUGCUUUAUUUAAGCAUUUCCCCGAGCCCACUGCGACCAAGAACUUUAUUCAUCUGUCUCAGACAGUUGCAGCAACAAGAACAAAGUUGAACUCAAUCAACAAUCUGGAUGAUGGGAUUUGCAAGUCAAUGGUGGAGACACAAGGCUAUACUUGCCAAGAACGCGAAGUAACAACAGCAGAUGGGUACAUCCUUGGCUUGCAGAGGAUUCCGAAUGGACGAUCCGGUAAUGAGACAGCAGACAGCUGCCUGUUCUGUUACAACAUGGGGUCUUCCUGGAUGCUUCAUCAUGGCUACUCAAUCCGCCGGAUCAAGCUUUGCCAUUUAUCUUGGCUGACAACGGUUUUGAUGUAUGGCUUGUCAACAGUCGUGGGACAAGCCCUAGCCGUGGACACACAUCACUUAGUCCUAAAGAUCCGGCUUACUGGGACUGGUCAUGGGAUGAAUUGGUUGCGUAUGAUCUUCCUGCUUCAUUCCAGUAUGUGAACAAUCAAACAGGACAUAAAUUACACUAUGUGGGGCAUUCCUUGGGAACUUUGACUGCCCUUGCCGCCUUCUCCGAAGAAAAGCUGUUAAACUUGCUAAGAUCAGCUGCUUUGCUUAGCCCUGUAGCUUAUCUGGCUCACAUUUCCUCACUGAUUUUAACACCUGCUGUUGACAUAUUUGCUGCAGAAAAACUGAAAUUGUUGGGCUGGCUGGAAUUUCCGAAUGGGCAGAUCCAACAACUUGUGGAGUUUAUCUGCACAACACGGGGCAUUGACUGCUCGAACCUCCUGGCAGCUAUAGGAGGCCCAAAUUGCUGCCUCAAUUCUUCCAGCAUAGAUGCUUUAGUUGAACAUGAUCCACAGCCAACUGCGACGAAAAACCUUAUACAUCUAUCUCAGAUUGUCAGAAAGGGAACCGUAGAAAUGUAUGAUUAUGGUCUUGAAGACACGAACAUAAAACACUACAAGAAACCCACUCCUCCAGUGUACAACAUGGCAAACAUUCCGAAAGACGUUCCACUUUUCUUCGGCUAUGGAGGGAGAGAUUCAAUUGCUGACGUUAGCGAUGUGGGGAUUUUGCUUGACAAGCUCAGAGAUCAUGACAGGGACAAGCUUGUGGUAGAAUACAGAGAGGAGUAUGCUCAUGUGGAUUUUAUAAUGAGUGUGAAUGCCAACCAAGUUGUGUAUGGUCCUCUACUGGCCUUCUUCAGGCUCCAUUGAGAGUUUAGUUACUUUCGCAAUCUAUAACAUAUUGCCUUCUGUAGGGUUUUGUUCACCAUUAAUAAUGAGAUUUAAGACUAUGUCUACAAGGCUUGUGGUAGGUAGGCAGGUUGAACAUGGUUUUCAAAUGCUGCAUUAGGUGCCCUUAAUUAGAGGCUAAUUAUGUGAUUAACAAAAACAAAUUAAUCACAGAACAGAAUAUUACAGAUUGGUUGCAUCUGGAUGAGCAUGUACUUUAAUGUUAGGUUUCACAUUCUACCAUAUAAUUAUGAGAAGGCAAUGAACAACUAGGCAGCUUCAACUGUUAUUAUAAUUAGCUCACUGAGAGGAUCAAACAAGCUCUCUUUUCCACCAAGAUCAUUACAAGACAGAAGACUCAACAAUAACUCAGUAACCUUGCCAACUCUGUCUUCUCAAAUAUGGAUGUUUGGUCUGAGAGCAAAAUGAUUCUGAGCCGCAGCAUGAACUGCUGAAAAAGGAUUGACAUCAUUGUUUCUUGUUCGAUGGCCCUUUGCGCUUUUCAAAGGAAAGAAAAGCUCUUCGCAGAGAACAGCACAAGGCGGUGAAGCUCUAACCUUAACUUGCCGAUUAAGGUUCCUAUCAGCUGAGCACCCCAACAUGUUCUUCAGCUUGCUAACCAAAUUGAUGAGCUUCUCCAUCCUCCUAAGCUUCUUUGCUGUGCUUCUCAUAACGUACCUCACUCUCCUAAGUUGGCAAUGGUGGGUUUUCGGGGCUUGCUCAGCUUAUACAUAUAUAUAGUUAGGAGUUGAAAGUGUGCUCUGGCAUGUCACACGGAAAUUGUGUAAGCUACUCUACAAGAGCAAGAGUUUGUAGUUUUCAUGAAACUUGCUUUUCUUCUGUUAUUUCAUUAAUGAAU